GAUCUUUAUAAAAUGGUAUGGAUGCGGAAAUUAAUUCUGGGCAUUGUCGCAGUGUGUGUAAUCGCACCUACAUUAACACACGUUCUGAGUUCCGGGCAUGGCAGCAAAGGAGUUGAUACAUCGCGAUACAACAAAAGAUCCAAUGCAGCAAUAGAAUGUCCCCCAGGCCUGAAUAAAAUGGAUUGUUAUCAACAACUCAUGAAUGUGUGGAUGCGGAUGUUGAUGAAAGGGCAGCUGAAAAGAACAAUCUUUUAAUAUAACUGUUUACAACAAUCAUAUAUCGUGCUUUGGUAUAUACAUGUACUGAUGGUGAUGUAAGGUUUUAUUAAAAAAAACCACAUUUUCA